rnacentral:rRNA from 1 species
GUGGAUUAGAUACCCUGGUCGUCCACGCCCUAAACGAUGUCGACUGGUUGUUGGGGGUUUGACACUCUCAGUAACGAAGCUAACGCGUGAAGUCGACCGCCUGGGGAGUACGGCCGCAAGGUUAAAACUCAAAGGAAUUGACGGGGACCCGCACAAGCGGUGGAUUAUGUGGAUUAAUUCGAUGCAACGCGAAAAACCUUACCUACCCUUGACAUGUCCGAGAGCCCGCUGAGAGGCGGGUGUGCCCGAAAGGGAAUCGGAACACAGGUGCUGCACGGUUGUCGACAGCU